GGGCCGCACGCGCGCUACACUGACCGAACCAGCGAGUUUAUCACCUUAGCCGGAAGGCUUGGGUAAUCUUGUGAAACUCGGUCGUGAUGGGGAUAGAGCAUUGCAAUUAUUGCUCUUCAACGAGGAAUACCUAGUAAGCGUGAGUCAUCAGCUCGCGUUGAAUACGUCCC
rnacentral:rRNA from 1 species